AAUGAACGCUGGCGGCAUGCCUAACACAUGCAAGUCGAACGAGACCUCCGGGUCUAGUGGCGCACGGGUGUGUAACGUGUGGGAACCUGCCCUUAGGCUCGGAAUUAUACUCCGUAAGGGGUGCUAACACCGGAUAAUGUCCUCGGAUAAAAGAUUCAACGUGCUUGGAUGGGCACGCGAUGGAUUAGCCGGUUGGUAGGGUAAAAGCCUACCAAGGAGAGGUUCCAUAGCUGGUCUGAGAGGAAGAGCAGCCACACUGGGGCUGAGACACGGCCGAGACUCCUGCGGGAUGCGGCAGAGGGGGAUAUUGGACAAUGGGCGAGGGCCUGAAGCAGCUAUGCUUGGUAAGUGAUGUAGUCCGGAGGGAAAUAAAGCUCGUUUACCCGGGGUUAUAAUGACGGUACCGGAAGAAUAAGCACCGGCUAACUCCGUG
rnacentral:rRNA from 1 species